rnacentral:misc_RNA from 1 species
CAAAAUCUAAUUUAAGUGGAAAGGUGCUACCAACUAUAGUUGGGGACAAUGUUACUGUAGGCCAUAGUGCUGUUCUACAUGGCUGCACUGUUGAGGAUGAGGCUUUUGUUGGCAUGGGAGCUACACUUCUCGAUGGUGUUGUUGUACAGAAACAUGCCAUGGUUGCUGCUGGAGCUCUUGUAAGACAGAACACAAAGAUCCCUGCUGGAGAGGUCUGGGGAGGCAAUCCAGCAAAGUUUCUUAGGAAGCUAACUGAUGAAGAGAUAGCCUU